rnacentral:ribozyme from 1 species
CCAAAAGUCAAAAGACUUUCAUUUUUUGUUGAAAUUCAAAGACUUGAUCAGAGGACCUAUUGUGACAACAAAUCAGAUGUGGUACCGAUUUCUUUCAAUUUUCAUAAUUUUGUACGUA